UCCACUACACCAGGACUAUAGACAUGAAGCACUACACCUAGAUAAUAUACAUGUCCCACUACACCUAGACUUUAGACAUGAAGCACCACACAUAGACUAUAGACAUGUCCCACUAUACCUAGACUAUAGUUAUGAACCACUACACCUACGCUAUAGAUAUGUCCCAAAGCACCUUGACUACAGACAUGUCCCAUUACACCUAUUCUGUAGACAUUUCCAUUACACUUAGACAGGAAGCACUACACCUAGA
rnacentral:lncRNA from 1 species